rnacentral:lncRNA from 1 species
CGGGCUCGGGCUGAGUGUCAACAAGGCGAGCGGUGCGGUUCGGGCCGCGCUGGGCCUGACCAGGCGGAUGCGGAGGCUGUGUCUAGCAGAUACCAAAGAUCUACUCCUGGAACUAUUGGGAGGAUUAAGUGAGAGGAUACAAAUGAAUCAAGAUGGUAUCUGAUGCACAAUAAAUGAGUUACUGUAAGGAUGGUAGAUCAGACAGUUUUCUUUAGCAGUUGUUGCAACAUAUACUCCCAUCAGCAAAGCAUGAGAGUUCCAGAUGCUUCACGUCCUAGCUGACAAUUUCA